rnacentral:rRNA from 1 species
GACGAACGCUGGCGGCGUGCCUAACACAUGCAAGUUGAGCGACGAACCAGGGCUUGCCCUGGGGCAAAGCAGCGAACGGGUGAGUAACACGUGGGUAACCUACCCCGAUAACCGGGACAACCCGAGGAAACUCGGGCUAAUACCGGAUGUGCUCACUGGACUUCGGUUCAGUGCGUAAAGGAAGCUUCGGCCUCCGUAUCGGGAGGGGCCCGCGGCCCAUUAGUUUGUUGGUGAGGUAACGGCUCACCAAGACCGCGAUGGGUAGCUGGUCUGAGAGGACGAUCAGCCACCCUGGGACUGAGACACGGCCCAGACUCCUAGGGGAGGCAGCAGGGGGGAAUCUUGCGCAAUGCGCGAAAGCGUGACGCAGCAACGCCGCGUGGGGGAAGAAGGCCUGCGGGUUGUAAACCCCUUUCAGGAGGGACGAAGGUUCGGCGGUGAAUAGCCGUCCGGACUGACGGCACCUCCACAAGAAGCCCCGGCUAACUACGG